AAGAAAACAAAAAAACCCUGCGACACUUUAUUUUAAAAGAAUUUGAUUUACCACUUAGAUAUUUUAUCUAUUUGACUUUCAAGCUUGACAAGUCCGAGGGAAAGAAGUAGUUGCCUCUCGCUCGUGUAAAUUGUUGUACCGUCAGGUGUAUGAAAGUGUAAACCCCAUUUUCCAUGCAUAGAAGCAGGCUACCCUUCUUCAGAAGUCCACACCGUGUGCCUGUCUGCAGACAUCUUUCAGGCCGGGAACUCUGGCCUGGGGACUCCCAAGUACCGCUGGUCUGCUUCUCUGAAGCCUUCGCUGACGUUUUGCCCUUGACCUCUGGAGCCCGUUUCGUAACGCACCCUUGGAGUCGCAUAGGCACGCAGCAGAUGCGCAGCAAGUGAGGACGGAUGAAGAAGGCGGCUGACCGAGACACCUGUGGAGAGGCUGAUGUUCUUUUUACUGUUCUAUUCUGCCGCUGAAGACGGAUGCGUAGGUGCAGGCCGGGAGUGAAACCAGUCAGGAUAGAAAAACUCAGACUCGCUCACGGUGGUGUCCCGUAAGGUGAAGGUUGUCGCGCUAAUAUCCGUCAGCGCUGAGCGGGAACCAGUCACCAGCAGGUCUCUGGCAGAACCAGGGAGACUGCUGAUGCUGGAUAAGAUUGCCGGCAGGAGGAGAAGGGGACGACGGAGGAUGAGAUGGUUGGAUGGCAUCACCGACUCAAAGGACAUGAGUUUGGGUAAACUCCGGGAGUUGGUGAUGGACAGAAAGGCCUAGAGUGCUGCGGUUCCUGGGGUCGCAAAGAGUCGGAUACGACUGAGCUACUGAACUGAAGUGAACUGAGGGGGACUGCUGCCGGGUUUAAAUUUUCACAUAAUAUGUACUCUGUUGAUAGUUACGCUCCAAAGGAUUCAAAUACAAAGUACAUGAGAUAUGAAAAUAUUUCUGUCAAAAUAUACGUUAAAUACGAAAAGCAACAAUGAAAUUAAUUUUACAUAUGCUUUCAGAAUAACUAUUUCUUAGAAAUAAUAUAAAAUUAUUAAGAAUAAAGGGGAGAUUGAAACAUAUCAAGUUUUAAGUCGAUGUUACUUAAAUAAAGCUGACAUUUUUAUUAAAUUUUGAAAAUGUAGUGAAAUCUCGUAAGUACUUUAUAAAAAUAAAAUUCAUCAGUCCUAGCAUUCGAUGCCCAGAAUUGGG
ensembl:lncRNA